GAGAUCGUAUCGCUUAGCGUUGUUGUAAAACAAAAUAAAACCCGAGAGCAAUCGUAAAUUUAGUGAAAACACAAAAUGGUAAUAAUAACACGCACAUCCAGUCGUAUUUUCCAUGUGGGAGGUGCUCGGCCAAAAAUGAUAAACGCUGAAAUAUAGCGUUGUACUUAACGAUAUCAUUUUAUUGUGGCUUUGUUCGUAUGUGGAUAAAAUAAGCGAUAGGUACUUGUGUCUACGGAGAGUUUCGAAAUUUAAUUCUACGCGUAUAAUUCGGUGAUUUUAUAGCAAAUUCUCAUGAGAUACGGAUAUGAGAAUGGGAAAAAGUAUAAAUGUGUGUGCCUUCUGAUAAUAUAAUGUGUAGGUGUAUUGUAGUCCGCAUGUGUAGUUAGUUACCAGUAACAUCUUAACUGUGGAGAUAAUAACACUGUGGAGACAAUAACAUGGAGAUAAUGAUCUACUAACCAGUGUCAGAUCGUAACAUAAAAAAUCAAAACUUCAAAUCAGGAAGCUAGAUCAAAAAAUUUUAUAUAAUUCAAGUCAAGACCUUUCACUCCUCUUGUGAGUCCGCACGGGUAGGUACCACCACCCCGCCUAUUUCUGCCGUGAAGCAGUAAUGCGUUUCGGCUUGAAGGGUGGGGCACCGUUGUAAGUAUACUUGAGACCUUAGAACUUAUAUCUCAAGGUGGGUGGUGCACUUGCGUUGUAGAUGUCUAUGGGCUCCAGUAACCACUUAACACCAGAUGGGCUGUAAGCUCGUCCACCUAUCUAAACAAUAAUAUAAUAAUAAUAAUCCUACAUAUAUUAUAUACUACAGUUUAAAAUAGCAAAACAAUGUAUUCUUCGUAAACAGCUAUUGUCGAUUCCGUAUACAAUAUAAAUGAUGGGAAUCGCGUGGCAUGCAGCAGGACAGGCCAUUUGUCAGCGCGUCCUAGCCAAUUACUAUUUUACAGACUGAACACUGAAAAUUACAUGUCUAACCAAUAUUGUCUUCGGCUUUCCUGCAAGCCUGUAAAUGAUACAUAGUCCACGAUACGCUGCUAUUUUCAUUAUGUGUAAUUAUAGUUUACAAUGUGUUAAGACUAAGUAUAAACGUAGCUUUGUUUCGAUUCGAUUUAUGUUCAUUAUAAUAACAACAUGGCAAACUGUUCUUAGUCGAAAUAAACGCUAAAGUUUUUUUGAUUAGAAAUGUAUAAGCAAGAUAUCCUGAACUUCAUCUUAAGAUAUUCUUCAAAGGAGAAGUUUUUAUGAAAGACGGUUCGCAUUUGUUAACUGUAUAAUAUUAUUAUUAUUUUUAUAUAUUAUACGUGAAUAAUAUUAUUAUAA